GAUGAACGCUAGCGGCAGGCUUAAUACAUGCAAGUCGAGGGGCAGCACGGGUAGCAAUACCUGGUGGCGACCGGCGCACGGGUGCGUAACGCGUAUGCAACCUACCUUCAACUGGGGAAUAGCCCCGAGAAAUCGGGAUUAAUACCCCAUAACAUUCAGCUGAGGCAUCUCAGUGGAAUUAAAGUUCCGGCGGUUGAAGAUGGGCAUGCGUGACAUUAGCUGGUUGGUGAGGUAACGGCCCACCAAGGCUACGAUGUCUAGGGGUUCUGAGAGGAUGAUCCCCCACACUGGUACUGAGACACGGACCAGACUCCUACGGGAGGCAG
rnacentral:rRNA from 1 species